rnacentral:rRNA from 1 species
UACGGAGGGUGCAAGCGUUGCUCGGAAUUAUUGGGCGUAAAGGGUAGGUAGGUGGUCUCGUUUGUCAGGGGUGAAAGCCUUGGGCUUAACCCAAGAAGUGCCCCUGAAACGGCGAGACUCGAGUACUGGAGAGGCGAGUGGAAUUCCCGGUGUAGCGGUGAAAUGCGUAGAUAUCAGGAGGAGCACCUGUGGCGAAAGCGGCGCACUGGACCACAACUGACGCUGAGGCGCGAAAGCUAGGGGAGCAAACAGG